rnacentral:rRNA from 1 species
AACGAACGCUGGCGGCAUGCCUAACACAUGCAAGUCGAACGAAGGCUUCGGCCUUAGUGGCGCACGGGUGCGUAACGCGUGGGAAUCUGCCCUUGGGUUCGGAAUAACGGCGGGAAACGGCUGCUAAUAGCGGCAGAUGACGUUAAGUCCAAAGAUUUAUCGCCCAGGGUUGAGCCCGCGUAGGAUUGGUUUGUUGGGAGGGUAAGGGCAUACCAAGGCGACGAGCCUUAGAUGGUCUGAGAGGAUGAUCAGCCACACUGGGACUGAGACACGGCCCAGACUCCUACGGGAGGCAGCAGUGGGGAAUAUUGGACAAUGGGCGAAAGCCUGAUACAGCAAUGCCGCGUGAGUGAUGAAGGCCUUAGGGUUGUAAAGCUCUUUUACCCGGGAAGAUAAUGACUGUACCGGGAGAAUAAGCCCCGGCUAACUCCGUGCCAGCAGCCGCGGUAAUAC